UAACGAUUUGUGUGCCUAACAGCCAUGUGUUAUAAUGCCUGUUUCACUUUAUUCUCAGCCAUAUAUUUCAUGAAAUGUAACUUAUUAUUCAUUCUUUAAGACCUCAUGAGACUGUUACAUGAAGUAUGGAAUAUUUUUAUGAACUCUCAUGCAAACAAGUCAGGAACAUGGUAGGAAACAGUAGAAAUAUAUUGCCUAAAAUGUUUAUUGCAAUGAAUAACUCACAACCAUGCAGAGAUAGCAUUUCAUCACUUGGAGAAGGAAACUUUCAUCAGAAUAAUUACAAACAAUACAUGGUAUAGAGUUUGAGAGCUGCUCUUCCCAUGCACCAAGGAAAAGGAGAUGCUGCAGAAACUGAUAUUUAAUUGGGGGGACUCCUGCAGAGAGACAAAACUCUUCUGGAAAGAGGGCCAGCAAAGUCAAAGAAGCAGUUUUCAAUAUUAUAAGAAAUACAGAUACUUGUCUUUUCAUCACAAAAAUAAGUAAUUAGAUAGAAAGGGUAUUAAAGAUUGGCCAAGCUCAAACUAUAUUUACCAAUUUUGUUAACUUCUUUUAAAGUUAAAUGUAAUUAUGUUGUGGAGGUUAUGUCACUUUUUCCAGUAUUCUUCUUGAAAGUAAAAUAUUUUCACAACUGUCUAUUAUUGUCCACCAAGAAACAUAUGAAGAAGCAAAAUGAAUUUUAAUAAUAGCAUAAAGACUGAGAAAGACACAUGUAAAUAUAGUAUUUUAAGGUUCUUAUAUGAAUAAAGUGAUGUGUUCUUAUUUAAACAUGUAUAUAUAAUCCCUAUAUCAACCAACAUGAAAGUUAAAAAUAAAUAAUUACACUGCCCACUCAGUUUUAAAAGGGGGUAAGAAUACAAGUUAAAUAGUAUAAAGAUUAGUUAAAAAUAAAAUGGUGACAUAACAAACUUAAAGUAGACAAUUUCAAUAAUUAUGUUAAAUAUAGACUAAGAUACAAACUGUCAGAUGGGAUAAAAAAAAAAAAACAAGACCCCACUAUAUGCCAUCUACAAAUCUUGUUUUCAAUUAAAAGAUACAAAUUAAAAGUAAAAUGAUGGAGAAAGAUACACUAUGCUAAAAUAGCUAGAGAAACAA
rnacentral:lncRNA from 1 species